GUUUAUAUACUGCUUACGUGAUGAUGAUUUUUCAACUAUUGUAUUUUAUCCAAACUUUCCUUAAAAUUGUGUGAAUGUUAAAUUCUAUUUAAAGAAAGCAUGCUGACGAAGCUAAUUCAACAAACCUACGCUUUCAAAAUAACAACACGUUUUAGCAAAAAAUAAAGACUUUUAAUUCGGGUUAAUUAGACAGUUAUUACUUUCUUGUCCAAAAUAAAUCCAAUUUAAUUAUACAAUCGUCAGCAAAUUAGUUUUCUUGCAACCCACACUUUCGUUCAAUCUUUUCUAUAAAAACUAUAAAAUACCCAUUCGUCUCAAUCAGAAUUAAAUUCAGGUCAAGGAAAGAGAAAGAAAGUUCUAAUUAAAAGUCAACAUGAAGUUUUUUUCUAAGUCAGGCACAAAGCAAACAAAAUCAUCCUCAACAUCACAACAAAAACAACAAACUGCGGUUAAAGUAAAAUGCGUUACCAUCGUUAAGUCAUCUGGAAAACAAUUUAAACUAAAGUGAGAGAAUUAAUAUGUUGAAAAUGAUUGGAAAGAUAUUUUGAGGAAGACAGCAUCUGUUUUUAUUUCCUCUUCCAUAGCACUGCUGGAGUAGCAACAAUAAAUUGCACCAUAUAAAACCGCUUACUGUUAAUUGACCGCCUGCGAGUUUGUUUACGACACAAGAUUGAAAGAGUACGGAAGAUUUUAUUCCAAUCAAUUACCCAAAACAUUUACAUACUACACAACAACAACAACAACAACAACAACAACAACAACAACAACAACAACAACAACAACAACAACAACAACAACAACAACAACAACAACAACAACAAUAUAUUACGUUUUACGAAACAUUGUAGCAAUGAUAAAUUCUUAUGUAAUGGUGAUACACUGCUACAAAUUAACAUCUUGUUUAUCGUUGUGUUGUCUUCGCCUUAAUGUACAUCUGAGUUAGUUUUGUUUUACUUAUUUAGCAUUCAAAUUGUAUCCUACUUACUUGGACAAGAUUUUUUACUAUUU